UUGAAACACCGGUUCCCGUACGAUCAGCGAAGUUAAGCAAGCUCGAGCCUGGUCACCACCUAGAUGGGUGUCCGCUUUGGGAAUUCCAGGUACUAU